CUCUUUCCCCUCUAACCUCUCAAUCUCUCUCUACUCUAUCUCUUCCUCAAUCCCCAUCCCCCUCUCACUCUCUCUCCUCCCUCGCUUGCUGCAGCGAGCGGCUGCACCCAGCGGGCAAGGCACGACGGCAGCGUGCCCUCUCUCUCCUCCCUCCACUUACUGCAGUGAGCGGCGGCGGCCGGUCGGCAUGGCGUGAGAGCGGCGCGCCCUCUCUCUCCUCCCUCCCCAUCCUGCAGUGAGCAGCGGUGGCUGCCCAGCAAGGUGCGCACAGUGGCACAGCCUCUCUCUUUUCCCUCCCAUUGCUGCAGCGAGCGCCGGCGGCCGGCCGGCAAGGCGUGCACGGCGGCACACCCUCUCUCUCCUUCCUCCCCUAGCUGCAGCGAGCAGUGGAGGCGGAGGUCGGAGAUUGGUGGCGAGCGGCGUCGAGCACAGCUGGGUGGCUCCGGCCGGUGGCGAGCGUGGCAAUGGGGAGGGCGAACCAGAGGAAACCGGCGAGGAGCCUCAACGCCGCCAUUGCCUCGGCCUCCGCCUCCGCUUCGGCCGCAGCUGUGGCAACCGACAUCCCGCCUCCACUUUCUACACCACCGCACGUCGCUCGGCUCCGCGUGUCGACCGCCGUCGCCGCUCGACCUGUGCCGGCCCCCGCGCGUCAUCAUGCACGCCGACCGCCGGCGCCGCUCGACCUGGACCCGCGCUUGCCCCCACGUGAGAGAGAGAGAGAGAGAGAGAGAGGGAAGAGGGGGAUAGGAGAAAGAGGAGGCUCGUAGCCGCUGGCGCGCCACUCGUCCUCGACGGCGCCACCCUUGCCUCCACGGUCGCCGAUCUUUGCAGUCAGCCUCUGCCGGCUCAGGGUGAUAAUUCGUACUUUUCCAACUAGAUACGAUCCAUCGGAUUAAAGGAAAAAAAAGGGUGAUCUCAUAAUCAACUGCGACAAAGGGAAUAGGCAAAGUGAGGAGGGUGUCCCCCAGUAGUGUGUCGGUGUUGUACUUGUUAAACAGAUAGAUAGUUCGGAUAGGAACAUAUCUGUUGAUAAGAUAAGAUAGAGUUUAGUUUGUUUCUUGUUUUUCUGUUGUGAAGAUGUAAUCUGUAAACUCCUAUGUACACGCCACGCCAGGGGCUGUUUCUGGCUAUAUAACACGGACCGUGGAACCGAGAGAGGCAAUCCACGUUAAACCCA